rnacentral:rRNA from 1 species
UGCCAGCAGCCGCGGUUACACCGAGAAGUUAAGUCAUAUUUAAAUGGUAAAAAGACAGUUAGACUUAAAAUACUUAAUUGUUUUCUGACCGUUUAUAAAAAAGUAAAAUUUAUAUAUAAACGUGUAAUCUAGUAAUAACUGUGAGUUGAACCUGUGAAGGCCUGGAGGGAAACUGGGAUUAGAUACCCCAUUAUUCUUGGUUAUAAAUUGAAUUAAAUUUACCAGAGUACUAUGAAUAUUAUAAAAUUUAAAACUCAAAGGACUUGGCGGUGUUUUAGACCACUCAGGGGAACCUGUCUCGUAAUCGAUAAUCCACGUUACACCUAACCUUUUUUUGCUUUCAGCUUGUAUACCGUUGUCGUCAGGUAACUUUUAAGAAACCAGAAGUUAGCUAGAAACAGUGAAUUUAAACGUCAAAUCAAGGUGCAGCUAACAAAAAGGCGAGGAUGGGUUACAAUUACUAAGUUGUAAUUAUGAAAAAUCAUAUGAAUUAGUGAUUAAGAAGGAGGACUUGAAAGUAAAUUAGAUUAUAAAGAUAAUUUGAAUAAGGCUCUGAAAUGCGCACACAUCGCCCGCCGCUC